CCUACGGGUGGCAGCAGUGGGGAAUAUUGGGCAAUGGACGCAACUCUGACCCAGCAACGCCGCGUGAAGGAAGAAGGCUUUCGGAUUGUAAACUUCUUUUGAUAGGGAAGAUCAGGAGGCGGUACCACUUGAAUACACCACGGCUAACUACGUGCCAGCAGCCGCGGUAAUACGUAGGUGGCAAGCGUUUUCCGGAUUUACUGGGUGUAAAGGGCGUGGAGCCGGAAAGACAAGUCAGAUGUGAAAUCCGCGGGCUCAACCAGCGAACUGCAUUUGAAACUGUUUCCCUUGAGUAUCGGAGAGGUAAGCGGAAUUCUUGGUGUAGCGGUGAAAUGCGUAGAGAUUAGGAAGAACACUAGUUGCGAAGGCGGAUGACUGGACGACAACUGACGGUGAGGCGCGAAAGCGUGGGGAGCAAACAGGAUUAGAUACCCUGGUAGUC
rnacentral:rRNA from 1 species